UCGCGAAGGCUAGCACAAUAAUGUUAAUAUUUUCGAUCAUAUUAUGCUAGUGUUCGUGGGU
rnacentral:pre_miRNA from 1 species